GACGAACGCUGGCGGCGUGCUUAACACAUGCAAGUCGUGCGGUAAGGCCCUUUCGGGGGUACACGAGCGGCGAACGGGUGAGUAACACGUGAGCAACCUGCCCUUCACUUUGGGAUAACUGCCGGAAACGGUGGCUAAUACCGGAUAUGACUUCCUCACGCAUGUGGGGUGGUGGAAAGCCUUCGGGUGGUGGGGGAUGGGCGCGCGGUCUAUCAGCUUGUUGGUGGGGUGAUGGCCGACCAAGGCUUCGACGGGUAGCCGGCCUGAGAGGGUGACCGGCCACCCUGGGACUGAGACACGGCCCAGACGCCUAUGGUAGGCAGAAGGGGGGAAUAUUGGACAGUGGGCGAAAGCCUGAGCCAGCGACGCCGCGUGAGGGAUGCCGGCCUUCGGGUUGUAAACCUCUUGCGCCUGCGACGAAGCGAGAGUGACGGUAGCCGGUAAAGAAGCACCGGCCAACUACGUG
rnacentral:rRNA from 1 species